CAGACACUGUAAGAUGUGAAAGAAUUUCAUCCAUUACAUGAGCUCUAUUGGUUGACUACCAGUGCACUAUAAAGGAGCUUCAGGAGGGGUAUGGAGAGAAUCACGUAGCUUGAAUAAGAUUAUGAAGACACGUAGUCCUCUUUUCUUGUCAUUUAGUAAUGCAUGCAUUAAGAAGUGAACAACAGGAAUUCUGCAGAUGCUGGAAAUUCAAGCAACACACAUCAAAGUUGCUGGUGAACGCAGCAGGCCAGGCAGCAUCUAUAGGAAGAGGCGCAGUCGACGUUUCAGGCCGAGACCCUUCAUCAGGACUAACUGAAGGAAGAGAAACCUUGGCAGCUUCUGUUAAGAACAUGCAGGGGACAUUGAGACACAAGUAAACAUAUAUCAUUUAACCUUCUCCUUUCGUAGUCCAGUUUGAUAUAUCUGCCUUCAGCAAACAUGGAGGGAUUCUAUUCUGGCUGAAAACAUCAAGUGAUCAAGAAAGCCUCAAAUGUGCAGCAUCACAUUAUGGU